GGGCGGUUAGCUCAGUCUGGCUAGAGCGCUCGCCUCACACGCGAGAGGUCACAGGUUCAAGUCCCGUACCGCCCACCA
rnacentral:tRNA from 2 species